AAUAGAUACCCGGGUAGUCCACGCUGUAAACGAUGAUCACUAGACGUUAGUUCUGUUUGACAGAAUUAGUGUCGUAGCUAACGCGUUAAGUGAUCCACCUGGGGAUUACGGUCGCAAGACUAAAACUCAAAGAAAUUGACGGGGGCCCGCACAAGCGGUGGAACAUGUGGUUUAAUUCGACACUACGCGAGGAACCUUACCUAGGCUUGACAUGCUUUUGACUGCCAUAGAAAUAUGGCUUUCCUGGCUUCGGUCAGGACAAUUGCACAGGUGCUGCAUGGCUGUCGUCAGCUCGUGUCGUGAGAUGUUGGGUUAAGUCCUCUAACGAGCGCAACCCUUGCCGUCAGUUGCUACUUACGUGAGUAAGGCACUCUGAUGGGGACUGCCUGGGAAACCAGGAGGAAGGUGGGGAUGACGUCAAGUCCUCAUGGCCUUUAUGCCUAGGGCGACACCCGUGUUACAAUGGUUGGUACAAAGGGUUGCAAGCUUGUAAAAGUAAGCUAAUCCCGUAAAGCCAAUCUAAGUUCAGAUUG
rnacentral:rRNA from 1 species